GGAGUGCCCAGAUUGCGGUCGUUGAGUGAAAGAGUCAUGUGGGCAUCUCGCUUAAUAACCGCUCUACUCAACAACCAAGAUUCCGGUCCCAAUUGUGGUUGUUAGGUGAGGACCACCUGAAGUUCUUAUAUUGAUAGGCAGCUCUUUCCACUGUUCUAUGAUAAACUCUUAGCUAACCCCAUGCUUGAAAAAAUUCAGAGUUCUUGAUAAUUUAAUAGAUUCUAGAUACUACAGAUAAAACCAAGACAAACAUUCCAUCUUUAACACAUAGCAGUUGAUUCAAAGUCAGAUCAUUCAUCUUUUUAAUCUUGCAAUUUGCUUGAGAGUCAGUUUAAAUUUAUUUUUAACUUAAUAUCACAUAAUAAGGCAAAGUACAAGUAUUGAUUCUUUUCAGACACUGCAAAAAAGAGAAGCACUGAAACCAGUUAAGCCUUUACUGGAGUAGACAAAACUGGAAAUUUUGUUUAGAGAUUUGAUAUGAUUUUUUGUAAUGCAUACAUGGGCAAAUUGUUCUUAUUUGGUUUAAUAAACCAUUCAUAUAUUUGAAAGCCAUCUAGAUGUUGUCAGCUUUUCCUGAAGUAUAUGUUCCUUUUAUUAGGCUUGAUUUUAAUAUAUCAUACACCACAGUGCAAAAGGUAAUCAUCGAUGUGUUGGGUAAAACCUUAAUAAUGUUCUUUACAAAUAGCUCAAGCCACUGCUGAAUUUUAAAAUACUGUUUUACAUUGGAUGUUAUUUGGAGUUUGGGAGAAGCACCGUUAUCUCCUACAUAGUUAUACGUGCCCUUUGGUUUUGGCUUCUCUCUGAAUUGAUACACUUGGGGAGUAAGACAUUACUUCUGCAUGUAUUCUGAAAUUUAUUUAAGCUUAGGGUUUAUUUGCUUAUUUGGUUUAAUUUACCUGAUAAAGAUUUAGAGAGCAUCCCUAUCAUUGUGGACCAGAUAAUUAUUUUUAUUUUCUGAUCAAGGCAAAAGAAUAGAUUAAAUAGAUGGUGUGUAGUUAUUUUACCUUAAUUUUAAUUGUUGUGAGAUUAAAAGAGCAAAAUUAACAUCACACUUCAAAUGACCAAUCAAAGCAAUUAUAUUACCCAGACCCUGUUAAGUAUUAAUCCUUUAUUAACUACCACAAAGAUGUCCUCCUAAAUCCUAGGUUAAUAAUUUUAAUCCUGUUAGGAAAGUCAAGUCAUUCAGUUCGAUCAACUGACGUUCUGAGCAUUGGCACUUUGAUUUUGUACAGGGAAGUGAAUGCGUACUUGACAUAGAAAGUGUAUUUUGCAUUUUUUGCAUUUCUCUCUUCUUAGUUUAUCAGCGGUGCCAAGGAAAUUUGCUAUGCUUUGUGUUCCGAAGGCUAUUGGGCAGAUUUUAUUGACCCAACUUCAGGAUUAGCAUUCUUUGGCCCUUAUACAAACAACACUCUUUUUGAAACUGAUGAACGUUAUCGCCAGUUAGGAUUUCUUAUAGAAGACCUGGGCUGCUGUAAAGUUAUUCGGCAUAAUCUCUGGGGAACUCAUGUUCUAGUUGGAAGCAUAUUUACCAAUGCUACCCCUGACAGCCCUAUCAUGAAGAAACUGCGUGGCAAUUAAUAGCAUUUUCUCACUUAAAAGUUGGUUAAUAAACAUUGUUGGGAAGCAUGGAUGGAUGGAUGGAUGGAUGGAUGGAUGGAUGGAUGGAUGGAUGGAUAGAUAGAUAGAUAGAUAGAUAGAUAGAGUACGCUGAUUUAUAAAUAGUAAAUAGUAAAAGAUCUAUUAUUUAUUCUUGGUUUCAUAGUAUAUGGUUUAUAUACCAAUACAACAUUUUAUUUUUGAGAUUUGUAUAUAUAGCCUCUGAAAUCCUGAUUUACUCAUGUAAAUGAAACAUCCUUGGCAAUUUUACUUGAGAAUACAAAUCCACAGUGCUUUCACAGUACUUUGGUUAUGCAUCUUUGGUUAUAACUUUGAAGAAGAAAAAUGUGGUUGUACAAGUGUGUCAGUAAAAGAAAUAACUAUCUCAACUCUUUAUUUUACCAGAAGCAGUAUUAUAUGUUGCUUGAAUAUGAUCAAAAUAGCUCAACUUGAUUAUUUAAAAAUUGUGAUCAACUUGGAUUCUGUUGCUACUGAUGGUAAAACAUAGAGAAACAUAACACUAUUGUGUGUAAGCAUGCAAUAUUUGAAGGUGCAGUUCAUCUCUUGAAUCUACCCUGCCGUGUUGUGGCUCUCUCCUUGAAUAUAGGUAUAGGCUGAAUCCUACUAGCAAAUGUAAUCUCUUGAGGCAUUACAGUAGAACACAGAUUGCUAUUUUGUUUCUGAGUAGAUGGUACACUAAAGUUGCCCAACACGCCAGGUUACAUUGAAGAUCUCUAGUACCGUGGGCGUCUCAGGUUAACAUUCCUCAACUGGAUUUGGGUUGUAGUAUCAGAAUUGUCAGUUGAAGGUAAAACCAAUUUAGUGAACUUCUACAAAAAUCCAUGAUUACAUUGAUGGCUUGAGAUCCGUGUCUCAUGUGCAGCUUGGUUGCAGAGUGGUGUAUAAUAUCGAUCAUUUGGAUAUGUGUGAAUGUAUGCCUAUCAUUUGAUUUUUUUUUCCUAUCAUUUUGUUUACAAUAGUUGAAGAUGCUACAACUGAACAUAUGCUUCUGUUGGCUAAAGCCUGGGUUAUGGAUGCUGCAGAAUAAGGAAAAGGAAUAAAUGAUCUGAUUGGGCUGGACAUUUUAUAUUGAAAGGUAGUAUUAAAAUGUUUUAAAUACAUCAACAAACUGCAAUACCUAUGGAACAACAAGCAGCAUCCGCUUAUGGAGCAGAUCUUCUGUCUGACCUCCUGCACGCCUUCCAAGUGUGGGGCUGUGUAGGGGUAGUUUGUUUACAGGCAGAGGCAUUUCAAUAACGGAGACACACCUUUGGAUUUCUCCCUUAUCAGUGAAGAAAUCUUGUUUCUUGCGCUCUCUUGGGUAAAGAGAAGAAACAACAAGUAGGAAAAUGGAACUUGUUUCCUUGAUGUUCUUACAUGGGAAGAUUUUAAUUUUUUGUCCAGCCAUUCAAAUAGAACAAUCUUUUAUUACCUCAUUCUGCUGGGUGCCUCAACCAACCUCAAUUCCUUAGCAAGCAAUUGUAAUAAAAUCUUGUUUCAGAUGAUGCAUUUUGAUGAAUUGUUACAUUAUGAAUGGUUUGAAUAAGUUUGGCAUCUUUAAACCACAUUCUAAGGCAGGUCUGUAUUGUUACUGUAGCAUCAUGAGAAGCUAAUGCUGCUAUCUUGGGAACAGUGGUAUCGUGCAAUUCUGCCCAUUUGCCUCUAAGCUGGAAAGGCUCUACAGGAAGGAAGGGUCUGAUUUUUUUUUCCCCUUAUUUUUCUUUCUUGUGUAUGUGGAUAAAGACUUUUCUUUCUCCAGAGAAAGGAAAGGUGUGAUACCUAUCAGGUCAAUUGCUGGAAGAUGGUCAAGACAAAGCAGAUCCUUGCCUAAAUGAAUUUUCAAAGCUAUCCGUUUCAUGACAUAAACUUUUAUUUAUUUUUAUUUUAUUUUGCAAAUAUUGGCAGGCUGCUAUUUAGACACCUUCAUCAACUGUAAAUUUAGGUAUAAUUUAAAAUCUUCUGUAUGUACACCUAUUUUUAUACUGAAUAAAUAAAUGCUAGAACAAAAAACACAUGUAAAUACCUAUUAAUCCUGACAUAAUUUGUAAGUUGUAUAUUGGAAGAAAUGUAAUUGGGAGUAAUUUCAGCUCUUGCAAGAAAUAAAGUAGGGGUUCAAUAUUGUGAGCAUAACGUAGUUUAGCAGGUUCUUUCUGUAUUUUUAAUCCUGCCAGUAUGAUUGUGAUAUAUGAAAGAAAAGUGACUGAAGUAUAAAUUGUUGCUAUAUUUUUCAAGAAUAAAACUGUUACUUGUUCAGUA